UACAGAGGUCCCAAGCGUUGUUCGGAUUCACUGGGCGUAAAGGGUGCGCAGGUGGGUUUGCAAGUUCGAUGUGAAAGCCCCGGGCUUAACCCGGGAAUGGCAUUGGAUACUGCAGAUCUGGAGGAUCGGAGGGGGGACUGGAAUUCUUGGUGUAGCAGUGAAAUGCGUAGAGAUCGGAAAGAACACCAACGGCGAAAGCACUCUGCUGGGCCGACACUGACACUGAGAGACGAAAGCUAGGGGAGCGAAUGGG
rnacentral:rRNA from 1 species